rnacentral:rRNA from 1 species
UUAAGGGUGCAGGGCGGAUGCCUUGGCACUAGGAGCCGAUGAAGGACGUGAUAAGCUGCGAUAAGCUUCGGGGAGUUGCACGUAAACUUUGAUCCGAAGAUUUCCGAAUGAGGAAACUCACUUAGAGUAAUGUCUAAGUAUCAUUAAGUGAAUACAUAGCUUAAUGAGGGGAACUCAGGGAACUGAAACAUCUAAGUACCUGAAGGAAGAGAAAGAAAUUCGAUUCCGUAAGUAGCGGCGAGCGAACGCGGAUUAGCCCAAACCAAUAAAGUUUUCUUUAUUGGGGUUGCGGACAUAUCAUAACGAAGAGGUAUCGUAAUUGAAGAGGUUUGGAAAGACCCACCACAGAAGGUAAUAGUCCUGUAUGUUAAACGAGAAGACUUUAGAUAUGAUCCAGAGUACCACGGGACACGUGAAACCCUGUGGGAAGCAGGAGGGACCACCCUCCAAGGCUAAAUACUACCUAGUGACCGAUAGCGUAUAGUACCGUGAGGGAAAGGUGAAAAGAACCCCGGGAGGGGAGUGAAAUAGAACCUGAAACCCUGCACUUACAAGCUGUGGAAGCACAUUUCUUGUGUGACCGCGUACUUUUUGUAGAACGGGCCAACGAGUUACGUUAAGUAGCAAGGUUAAGCACUUAAGGUGCGGAGCCGUAGCGAAAGCGAGUUUUAACUGAGCGUUCAGUUACUUGACGUAGACCCGAAACCGGGCGACCUACCCAUGAGCAGGAUGAAGCGAAAGUAAAAUUUCGUGGAGGUCCGAACCCACGAGCGUUGAAAAGCUCGGGGAUGACUUGUGGGUAGCGGUGAAAUUCCAAUCGAGCCCGGAGAUAGCUGGUUCUCCCCGAAAUAGCUUUAGGGCUAGCCUCAAGGUGAGAGAUACGGAGGUAGAGCACUGAAUGUCCUAGGGGGUAUUGCACCUACCGAAGACUAUCAAACUCCGAAUGCCGUCAUCUUAUACUUGGGAGUCAGACUGUGGGUGAUAAGAUUCAUAGUCGAAAGGGCAACAGCCCAGAUCGUCAGCUAAGGUCCCUAAAUGUAAGUUAAGUGGUAAAGGAUGUGGGAUUGCACAGACAACCAGGAUGUUGGCUUAGAAGCAGCCACUCAUUCAAAGAGUGCGUAAUAGCUCACUGGUCGAGUGAUCCUGCGCCGAAGAUUUCCGGGGCUAAAACUUACUACCGAAGCUACGGCAUCAGUAAUGAUGGGUAGGGGAGCUUCCCAUACGGGUUGAAGCAUGACCGUAAGGACAUGUGGACAGUAUGGGAGUGAGAAUGUUGGCAUGAGUAGCGAGAUGUGGGUGAGAAUCCCACAGGCCGUAAACCCAAGGUUUCCAGGGGAAGGUUCGUCCGCCCUGGGUUAGUCGGGACCUAAGCUGAGGCCGAAAGGCGUAGGUGAUGGACAACAGGUUGAUAUUCCUGUACUACCGAUAACCGUUUGAGAGAAGGGAUGACACAGUAGGAUAAGCUAAGCACACUGUUGGUUAUGUGUGCCCAAGCAUUGAGGCAGUCAAAGUAGGCAAAUCCGCUUUGAUAAUGCUGGGAUGUGAUGGGGAGCGAAAUUUAGUAGCGAAGUAGCUGAUUUCACACUGUCAAGAAAAGUCUCUAUCGAGGUUAAAGGUACCCGUACCGCAAACCGACACAGGUGGGUGAGGAGAGUAUCCUAAGGCCAGCGAGAGAACUGUUGUUAAGGAACUCGGCAAAAUGACCCCGUAACUUAGGGAUAAGGGGUGCCACCAUCAGGUGGCCGCAGAGAAUAGGCCCAAGCGACUGUUUACCAAAAACAUAGGUUUCUGCUAAGUCGCAAGACGAUGUAUAGGAGCUGACGCCUGCCCGGUGCUGGAAGGUUAAGGGGAUCUGUUAGAGCAAUCGAAGCAGUGAACUUAAGCCCCAGUAAACGGCGGCCGUAACUAUAACGGUCCUAAGGUAGCGAAAUUCCUUGUCGGGUAAGUUCCGACCCGCACGAAAGGCGUAACGAUUUGGGCACUGUCUCAACAACAGACUCGGUGAAAUUGUAAUUCCGGUGAAGAUGCCGGAUACCUGCGACAGGACGGAAAGACCCCAUGGAGCUUUACUGUAGCUUGACAUUGGGUCUUGGUACUACAUGUACAGGAUAGGUGGGAGGCUUUGAAACCAGGACGCCAGUUUUGGCGGAGCCAUCCUUGGGAUACCACCCUUGUAGUACUGGGACUCUAACCAUAGGCCAUGAAUCUGGUCUUGGGACACUGUCAGGUGGGCAGUUUGACUGGGGCGGUCGCCUCCCAAAAGGUAACGGAGGCGCUCAAAGGUUCUCUCAGUACGGUCGGAAAUCGUACGUAGAGUGUAAAGGCAAAAGAGAGCUUGAUUGCAAGACAUACAGGUCGAGCAAGGAUGAAAAUCGGACUUAGUGAUCCGGUGGUUCUGCGUGGAAGGGCCAUCGCUCAACGGAUAAAAGCUACCCUGGGGAUAACAGGCUUAUCUCCCCCAAGAGUCCACAUCGACGGGGAGGUUUGGCACCUCGAUGUCGGCUCAUCACAUCCUGGGGCUGUAGUAGGUCCCAAGGGUUGGGCUGUUCGCCCAUUAAAGUGGUACGCGAGCUGGGUUCAGAACGUCGUGAGACAGUUCGGUCCCUAUCCGUCGCAGGCGUAGGAAAUUUGAGAAGACCUGUCCUUAGUACGAGAGGACCGGGAUGGACGUACCUCUGGUGUACCAGUUGUCCUGCCAAGGGCAUGGCUGGGUAGCUAUGUACGGAAUGGAUAAGCGCUGAAAGCAUCUAAGCGCGAAGCCAACUUCAAGAUAAGAUUUCCCACCGCAAGGGUAAGACCCCAGAAAGACUAUCUGGUUGAUAGGUCGAAGGUGUAAGUGCAGCAAUGUAUUUAGCUUAUCGAUACUAAUAGGUCGAGGACUUGACC